ACGGACUGGAGAUGAUUUGGAAUCAUCACAAUGACGUCAUAGAACCGGACGAUUCAGAACCAUCAUCUUGAGACACAAUAGUACCGGCCCAACUUUUACCAUCAGAAGAAGCUUCAAACUGAACCGGAAUCUUAACCCGCCCGAUCAAAUUAACCGAAUUAACCACCUUCGCUUGCCACGGUAUCUCGCUAGGUUUUGGCCACGUCACCGGUUCCUUCACAACGGCGUCGUUUAACGUUGAUGCUGUAGUAGUUUUCGACGGUGGUUUUAGUUCCGGAGCACUGGUUUUGGAGAACUUGAGGGUUUUUAUAGUGCUUUUGGUUUUACCGGUAGUGGAGAAUGAGUGUUGUUGUUGGAUGAUUGAUGGAGUGGUGAGUUUGAGGAGGCGGUUUCGCUCGGUGGUGAUUGCUCGGCGGAUGGUGUUCAUGACGGCGGCGAUGACGGUCGUUACGGCGGAGGAGAUUAGAACCAAACGGACAUUUUGGG
rnacentral:lncRNA from 1 species